rnacentral:lncRNA from 1 species
CCGGGACCGGAUCCUGAGGCUGGUGAAGAGCCUGUCGCCCAAGGUGCUGACGCUGGUGGAGCAGGAGUCCAACACCAACACUGCCCCCUUCGCGCAGCGGUUCGCGGAGACGCUGGACUACUACACGGCCAUCUUCGAGUCCAUCGACCUGGCGCUGCCGAGGGAGGACCGGGAGCGGAUCAACAUGGAGCAGCACUGCCUGGCGAGGGAGAUCGUGAACCUGGUGGCCUGCGAGGGGGAGGAGCGGGUGGAGAGGCACGAGGUGUUCGGCAAGUGGAAGGCGCGGCUGAUGAUGGCCGGGUUCAGGCCGUCCCCGCU